GGAAUUUUCCAAACCAGUUCCAUUUCUCAGAUGGAGAGGAGGAAAUUUGGACAAAGCCAAGCCUUGUUUUUAAGGGAGAAGUGAGCUAUAUCUGGCGUACCUCUGGGCGCUCAGCACGAGCUUGCGUCUCAGGGAAAUAGAAGAAACGAAGACGUGAGAGGAACACGCAAGAUGGCUGCAGAGACCAGACCAACAGUAGGAGAUAACAGUGAAACACAGAGACAUCAUUGCUUCAGUUACGAGGCUCAGAUCAGGGUGCUGCCAGAGAUCAAGAAGCGGAGAUUCAUGGGGCUAACACAGGCAGGGAUGGUUCUGGAAAUCGCCAUCUGACACAUCGGACGUUGACUUAUUUGUCUUGCAUAUGGUCUGUUUUCCCUGCUGGAACGUAAGCUCCGUGAGGCCCAGGAUUCCCAGAGACUACAGAGCGCCUGCCACGUAGUAGAUACUCAGUUAACAUCUGUUGCACGGAAGAAGCCUUGUUACAAAGCCGUAAGCUCUGCUGAUAAAGAGUUUGAUCUGGUCGGGAGGAGGGGGGUGAUCCAUUGCCACCUUGCCCUCAGCCGGGGCAGCUGCAUGGGUGUAUGUGUGUCUUUACUCGCAGAGAAGAGCUGGCCCUUGCUGGGAACCGCCCCCACCUCAGUCCGGGCCCCAGGGAAAGCUGCAGGUGACACAGCCUCCCUCAGGGUCACACUGGUGCCCCCACUUUGACUCCCCCCAACAGCCUAACUUCCCACGUCUCUGAGUUUGGGGCUUCUGCCAGCCUGCAGCCCUGCACUAGCCUGCCCCCACCUCCCUGGAGGCCCCCAGCAGUUCCAUCUCCGUGGUCCCCUCUGGCCAGCCUCAGUGGGCACCAGGACCACCUCUGCAUGAGACCCUGAUUGGAAAGGGCAGGCAGAACUGGCGUUUUCUCUUCUCCAUAUCCACCUCCAGCCCCAACAAGCACCAAGAAAAAGGGUUGUUGAUGGUGUUUCAGAAGCUCCAUGACCCCAUAAAAUAUGCUUCAUUUUUCUCAGAAAAUGAGCCAUUUUUUUCCCUCUGUGUUUUCAUAUGGUGCCCAGAAGUCCCUGGAUUUCCUGGAAUUCAUAUGAAGAAUUCCAGCUAUUCCAGCCGUAGUUUUCACACACACAGCUCCUGCCAACAGACUGUGGCCAUCUGGGGGCAGCCUGCGGGGGUGGAGUCAGCUCGCUCUCGAGUCCUGGAGAUCUGGCAAGGGCUUCUCAGCUGACCCUCUGCAUGCUCCUGGGUAUUUUUUAAAAACAGUUUUAUUGAGGUGUCAUUGGCAUAUAAUAAACUACACUGAACAAUGUGUUGUUAUGAUUUAAUAUAUGCACCCAUGAGAUCGUCACCAGGAUCAAGAUAGUGAACAUAUCCAUCACCCCAAAGGGUCCUCCUGUCCCUGUCUUCACCCCACCCCCCC
rnacentral:lncRNA from 1 species